rnacentral:lncRNA from 1 species
CUAUGGACGACGCAGAGGAGGUUCUGUUCUUCCGGCAUUGCGUUCCCAAGAGCUGGUGGAAGCUCCUCAGGUGGCUGGGGGUUGGAGAAGAGAAGAGGAUGUCGCUUGCGUGGGAUGCCAUUGACGACUUUAUACACAACCAGAUUUCCCUGAGGAUGGAGAAGGUGAGCAAGAUGAGAGAGGAUAAGGGGGCGGACGAAGAAUUGGCGCCGGACCUUCUCACUUCAUUCAUGCGCCUUCGACCAGACGUCGGAGACAUGACUGUCGAUUCGAAGAAGUUCCUACGUGACACAACGCUGAACCUGAUGCUGGCUGGGAGAGACACCACCGGCGCGGGGCUUGCAUGGUUCUCCUGGAUGGUCUCCCAGCAUCC